GCAGGGAUGCCCGAGCCUGGUCAAUUGAGGAACCGAUCCGACCGCAAGCUCGCGGCGUUGGUUUUUCUGGCUUGAAGGACAGGACUUAAGAUCCUGCGCGAUUAGUUCGCUUCGGGGGUUCAAUCCCGUCUUUUCUUUUGUAAAAGAAAAGAACGGGCCAGAAAAGAAAACAUCUUGACUUGAACAAAUCCCCCUCCCUGCA
rnacentral:tRNA from 1 species